rnacentral:sRNA from 1 species
CUGUCCGCCACGAACGAUGCUGUGUGCAGUGCUUUAUUCAGGGAGGUGCUAAUGACGUCACCUUAGAGUGAUUAGUUCCUGCCUGGAUACAGGAAUGCUCACAAAGAACGGCUUUUGCAGU